rnacentral:lncRNA from 1 species
GGACUUGAGAGGCCGGUCUGAGGAACGAGCUGGAACCUUGGGCUUGGCCGUUUACUGGAAAAGUGUGGGCUGACACGAGGAGUACUCCUAGGAGGGGGGAGCUCAGACUGAGAGUUACAACUCCUAGAGGUAUUAGGGGGGGACCUAUCACCCUCACUAAUGGAGAUGUGGGAAGGAGAACCCGCAGGAGGGCUGUCAACGCUCCUAGCCUCAACUGCACGACGCUUCCUCAUUGGUCCCGUAUGUUUCUUGCCCAUUUACUUCCCCCGACAACAUAACCACCAAGCCACAAUUCCCCUAACAACGUAACCACCAAGCCACAAUUCCCCCAACAACGUAACCACCAAGCCACAAUUCCCCCAACAACAUAACCACCAAGCCACAAUUCCCUCAACAACAUUUUCAUGCCAUACACC